rnacentral:tRNA from 1 species
GCGGGAAUAGCUCAGUUGGUAGAGCAGGACCUUGCCAAGGUCGGGGUCGCGAGUUCGAGUCUCGUUUCCCGCUCCA